rnacentral:rRNA from 1 species
UACGGGGGGGGCAAGCGUUGUUCGGAAUUACUGGGCGUAAAGGGCUCGUAGGCGGCCAACUAAGUCGGAUGUGAAAUCCCCAGGCUUAACCUGGGAACUGCAUCCGAUACUGGAUGGCUUGAAUCCGGGAGAGGGAUGCGGAAUUCCAGGUGUAGCGGUGAAAUUCGUAGAUAUCGGGAGGAACACCUGUGGCGAAGGCGGCCCCCUGGUUGGAUACUGACGCUGAUACGCGAAAGCGUGGGGAGCAAACAGG